AGAGUUUGAUCCUGGCUCAGGAUUAACGCUGGCGGCGUGCAUGAGACAUGCAAGUCGAACGGACGAUCAGGGCUUGCUCUGAUCGUUAGUGGCGGACGGCUGAGUAACGCGUAGGUGACCUGCCCCGAAGUGGGGAAUAACUGCCCGAAAGGGUGGCUAAUACCGCAUGUGGUGGUUCGUUCAAUCGCUCCACCAAAGCCGCAAGGCGCUUCGGGAGGGGCCUGCGUCCGAUUAGCUCGUUGGUGGGGUAACGGCUCACCAAGGCGACGAUCGGUAGGUGGUCUGAGAGGACGAUCACCCAGACUGGGACUGAGACACGGCCCAGACUCCUACGGGAGGCAGCAGUCGGGAAUUUUGCGCAAUGGGCGAAAGCCUGACGCAGCAACGCCGCGUGAGGGAUGGAGGCCUUCGGGUUGUAAACCUCUUUUGUCAGGGACGAUAAUGACGGUACCUGGUGAAUAAGUCACGGCUAACUACGUGCCAGCAGCCGCGGUAAUACGUAGGUGACAAGCGUUGUCCGGAUUUACUGGGCGUAAAGAGCGCGCAGGCGGUCGUUCAAGUCGAGUGUGAAAGCCCCCGGCUCAACUGGGGAGGGUCACUCGAUACUGAUCGACUCGAAGGCGGGAGAGGGAAGCGGAAUUCCCGGUGUAGUGGUGAAAUGCGUAGAUAUCGGGAGGAACACCAGUGGCGAAGGCGGCUUCCUGGCCCGUUCUUGACGCUGAGGCGCGAAAGCUAGGGGAGCAAACGGGAUUAGAUACCCCGGUAGUCCUAGCCGUAAACGAUGGACACUAGGUGUUGGUGGUAUCAACCCCGCCAGUGCCGAAGCUAACGCAUUAAGUGUCCCGCCUGGGGAGUACGGCCGCAAGGCUAAAACUCAAAGGAAUUGACGG
rnacentral:rRNA from 1 species